GAAAUGAUGCCUGCCAGCUUCUUUGUUCCUAGAGAAGUUUCCCCACUAUCCCUGCCCCUGUAGCACAUGUUUUGAGGUUAGUAAAUAAAUCUCCUUCCUGUACUAGCCAGGUGUUUUUCAAAGUGUUGUUUCUGUGCUGUAUCUCAGCAAGGCUAUUUGUUGUGCUCUCUCUUUAAAGGCAGAGACUAAGUUUCCUCUUGCCCUCCAGGCUCUCCCAGAAUCAAGUCUACUGAUUUUUAAAGUUCCAUGUGUCAAGCCCCACUAACUGUAAGAACUCACAAAUUAUGCCCCUCUGGUUUUCAGAGCCAAAUGUUAUGGGGAUUCAUCUUCCCCAUGUGGGUUCCCCAUGGCUGGGGUGCCUGGUGUGAGGUCUGUUUCUUUCCCCUCUCAGGAUCCACAGCAUCCUUCCCUCCUGCAGAGACUCCCUGUGGGUCUCUUUAGCUCCUGACAGUGUCUCUGCCCUUCCUACCCUCUUUGAUGUGGCCUCUUCCCUAAAUUUAGCUGUGAGGAGUCUGUUCUUCCAGUCUUCAGGUCAUUUCUGGGUUAUUUACACUGAUGUGGGUGUUAUGUAGUUGUACCCAUGGUAUUCCAUCUUCUUUCCUGGAACUCUGAGAUCUCCCGAGAAGGAAAAUGGAUGUGAAAUUGUUAAGAGCAAGAAACAAAUGGAACCAGAGAGGAUAAGCUAGAAACUUGGUGGACAAACCGGAAUCUGUGUUUGUAUUUCACUGCCUUCAAGCCUUGAUCUUUGAUGAUUCAGAUGAACCCUGAAAGCCAUAUGUUGAAGUAGCACAAGAUGGAAGGAGGCUGAGUUUCUGGGUCACUGUCAGACUAGAAAGGUUUAUGUGUACUCUUGGAUAAAUAUUGAGCCACUGCCAUGUAUAAACCACCAUGCUGGGCCCUAUAGGCAAUGCAAAAAGAAUAUGACAGACUGUCUCACAGUGUCUGCUCUCCAGGAUCUUAAAUUUUUGAGGUAAGAUCUAUUCAAAUACAUAAUAUGGAAUACUAUGUUAUAAAUGCCAAGAGUUAUAGGCAGUAAGUGAUGCAGGGACUUAAUCCUGAGAAGGGAUACAGAACCCCUCACUGAGGCAAUUAGAGGAGCUUUAUCAGUAGAGACAGCAUUUGUGAUGCAUCUUCCAAAAAGGGAAGAUUUGAUGUAUUGAAUAAAUUGAACAGCUAUACCCAAAGCAUACAAAACAAGGCAGGAUGGUUUCUGGCAAGGGUGUCUUCAGACCCUUCCAUGAUUUUAAUAGAUAGAUUGAGGCAUUCUUGACACAUGUUGAUUGGCAUGAUUCUGGGAUUGUUUGACAAGUCCAUUAUCCAUAAAAAUAAGCAGAUUUGGGGUUCCUAGUACAUAGGGUGAAGUAAAAAUCGUUCUCACAUUAUAAUGCAGAAUUGUAACAAAAAUAUAUAUUUGGUAUUGGGAAACUUAAGUUCAGAUUCUGACUUCACAGGAUAAGCAGAAAUAGUCACUCAAUGUCUUUGAGCCUAUAUUAAUUCAUAGUAUAUUAUAACUCAUCGUGUGUAUUUUAUUUGCUUCAACUACAACUUUCAUGAUAUAUUUUCAAGAAAUAUGUUCCAGAGGAAAAAAAAGUCUUCAGCUAGGUCAGGUUUUAUUACAAGGAGCUCUGCCAUUUAACUCUUAUAGCCAGUAGAUCCAAUGAUGCUUGAAGUGUUUAUGGCAGGUUAGGAUGAGAUAUGGAACUAGUAUUAAGGUCGAGUAGAAAAACCACAACAGAAAGGCUGAAGAAAACUUGCAUCCUCUUCAUCAUGCAUUAUUAAAAAAUAGCCCUGGGCUUGCUACUGAAUCUUCGUAGAUACUGAAUAUCUGAGCAGAUGACCAUGUUACCUGAGUUGUGACCCGUUUUUCACUGGGUGUUUUCUGAUCCAUCUAGACAAAGAACUUUCAACAUUUCUUUUAGUGCCCUUCUGCUAGAGCCAAACAAGUUUUAUAUGUCUGAACAAAUCUAUGUCACUGUAAUUUUUGAAGGAUAUUUUCAUAAGUUACAGAAUUCUAAAUUGACAGUUUUCUUUUUCCUUCAGCAUUUUAAAGAUGUCAGGCCAUUGUCAUUAUGCCUUUCCUUGAUUUUGAUGAAAAGUCUGCCAUACAUAUUACUGGAUUUUUCCCCUGAAUGUAGCAUGCAUUUGUGUGUGGGAGUAGGGAUGAGAGUACGUGUGUCUCCUUUUUUUUUUUUUUAACAUUCAUUUAUUUUUGAGAGAGAGAGAGAGAGACAGAGCGCAAGCAGGAGAGGGACAGAGAGAGAGGGAGGCACAGAAUCCAGUCAAAUGCUCUACCCCUGAGCUAUACCCCUGUGAGGCACAGAAUCCAAAGCAGGCUCCAGGCUCUGGCUCUGAGCUGUCAGCACAGAGCCCAACGCAGGGUUCAAACUCACCAACCGUGAGAUCAUGACCUGAGCCAAAGUAGGAUACUUAACUGACUGAGCCAUCCAGGCCUCCUAGGAGUGGAGUAUCUGAUUUUAAGAUUUUCUCUUCUCUGUUUUUCAGAUGUUUGACUUUGUAUUUAUCCAAUUUGAGAUCCAGUUCAUUUUUUGUCUAGGAUCUGUGGGUUGAUAUCUUUCAUCAAUUUUGGACAUUUCUUGAGUAUCAUCUCAAAUAUUGGCUCUAUUUUCUUCCUAUUCUACUUCUUAGAAUCAAAUACAUGUACAUUUGAACACAGGUUUUGGAUGCUUUUCUCAGUUCCUUAAUUUUUUUUCUCCUUUUAUUUUAACUUAGAUAAUUUCUAUUAAUUUGACUCCUGAUUCACUUAUUCUUUCUUCUGCUUUUUUUUAGGCUACUGUAAAAUAAAUGGAACGAAUUCUACAUUUAUGACACUGUAUUUUUAAAUCCUAGAAUUUCCUCUUUUUAAAAAUAAGUUUCUAGUAUUCUACUAAAAUGAAGUUCCCCAUCUGCAUCUAUAUUGUCUACCACCUUUUCCAUUCGUUUUGAAAAUGUAUGCAUAUUAAAUUUUUAUAUGCUAAUUCCAAUAUUUUGGUCACAUGUGGGUUAACUUGUAUUGACUAUUUAUUGUAUUGAUGGAUGACAUUGCCCUGUGUGUUUGCAUACCACAUAUAUUUUUUUAAUUUUAUGCCAGAAAUUGUAUAUAAAAGUACUGUAAAUAUUAUUUACUGAAGAAAAAGAAAUCCCAUGGGGCACCUGGGUGGCUCAGUUGGUUGGGCGUCCAACUUUGGCUCAGGUCAUGAUUUCACUGCUCAUGAGUUCGAGCCCUGAAUCAGGCUCUGUGCUGAUAGCUAGGUGCCUGGAGCCUGCAUCAGAUUCUGUCUCUGUCUCUCUGCCCCUCCCCUGCUUGCGCUCUGUCUCUCUCUCUCUCUCUCUCUCUCUCAAAUAUAUAAACAAAAAAAACCAUUAAAGAAAAAAAAAGAAAUCCCAUGCCUGUGGCAGGCUGCAAGUGAUGAAGCUGAAGCAGUCUAAGUUGGAGUUGAGCUAGCUCUGGGGCUGGUUGUAGCUUUUGUAACAUCUGUAGUUCACCACAGGUUUCAAAUGUUUUAUGAAAGGAAUUGGGACUAGUUUAUCUGAGCACCAGUGUAAGUCUUUAUGUUUUACAGCUCAAUAGCCAUCUUUCCAUGCCAUUCCAAUUUUUUUUUUGGUUCCUAUGGUGGUCUUUUGGCUCUCUCCUGACUUUCUGAGCGUCACAGACUAUUUCUACAUUGCUGCUGUGGUCUUAGCUUUUGGCACGCCAAUGCCUUACACUCAAGUAAGGGCUGUGAGUGACUCAGGGGAUGAUGUUUCUCAGCUCUGCUGUCAUGCACCCAGGUUUUAGUUGCUGUGUACUAGAUCCAUCUUUUCAAGAAAUCUCUCUUACCUUCUUUCCUUGUCCACAGGCUUUAGAGCACUACCGUAUGCAUUCUGUAAGGCUUUGAGUUACAGCAAUCUUUCCCUGCUUUCCACUCAGCUUCUAUCCUUCAGCUGGCUAUACAUGUGUUCAGGGAAAGCUCUGAUAAAAUUAGGAUAAAUUUGGUGAUUGAGCACACUCUCACAGGACCUCCUUCAUGACAGCCACCUUGGCUAUAAAAAAAGUUGUUAAAAUUUUGGCUAGUUUCUUCUUACCUCUGUCUACAGUGGGUUUGCUCCACCUCCUGUGCCCAUGGAUUUGGGUUUCUUCUCUCCUAGGAAGGGUUUUUCCAUUUUGGGAAUUUAAUCCAUUUGUAUUUCUUUUUACCUUCAACUCUCUAAUCAAAAAAAACCCAAAACCAUAAUUUUAUAAUUUGUCUUCUUGUUCUCUUUAUUAAAAUGAAA